rnacentral:tRNA from 1 species
UUUUUCUUGGUGUUAAGCACACAAAGUUUUGAUCUUUGAGGAGGGGGAGAGAGUCCCCCAGAGAAAG